rnacentral:misc_RNA from 1 species
GUGAAUCAUCGAAUUUUUGAACGCAAAUUGCGCCUUUUGCUAAAGGCAUGUCUGUUUGAGGGCACCGUUUAGCAAAUAAUAUGCAGCGUGUUGUGGAUGUAUUACGUGCACACGUUGAGGAGCUUGCCAAUAAUUUUAAAGGUUUGGUGGCGCAUAAUGAACAGCGUGAAGCUUUUUUUCAAUUCAAGUGUAGUAAAGUCUUUUCUUGGGUUGUGAAAAGCGUAAUCGCGCAAUGGAUGUGGCAAUUUUUUAUUAUCCCUGCCCCAAUGCCACUC